CAAGAAAUUCUCGAGUUCUCUUCAGAGACCAACUGGGGAUCAACAAUUCAAUUUAAUUCUGACACCCAAGAGUGAGGCAGAGGAAGAUUUGAUACACACAGAAGAGGAGAGAGCAAUGUGAAGAUGGUGGCAGAGAUGGGACUGAUGAAGCCACCAGAAGCUGGAAGACAUAAGGAUCCGAUUCUCCCCUGGAGCAUCUGGAAGAAGCAAGGUCCUGUCAACAUUGUGCUUUUAGUCAUUGAAAUGAAUAUUGAACAGAAUCCUGUCCCCUAGCACUAGUAGAGAAUAAAGUUAUGUUGUUUUAAGCCACCAAUUUAUGAUGAUUUCUUAUGGCAGCCACGGGAUACUAAUUUACCUUCUCAGAUGAU
rnacentral:lncRNA from 10 species